GUGGGCGUCGUCACCGUGACGCCGCAGCCCGUGACCCUGUCGACCGAGCUGACCGGCCGCACCUCGGCCUUCCGCGUGGCGGAGGUGCGCCCGCAGGUCAGCGGCGUCAUCCUGAAGCGGCUGUUCACCGAGGGCGGCGAGGUCAAGGCCGGCCAGCAGCUGUAUCAGAUAGA
rnacentral:ncRNA from 1 species